rnacentral:rRNA from 1 species
UACGUAGGCAGCAAGCGUUGUUCGGAGUUACUGGGCGUAAAGGGUGUGUAGGCGGUUCUUUAAGUUUGGUGUGAAAUCUCCCGGCUCAACCGGGAGGGUGCGCCGAAUACUGAGGGACUAGAGUGCGGGAGAGGAAAGUGGAAUUCCUGGUGUAGCGGUGAAAUGCGUAGAUAUCAGGAGGAACACCGGUGGUGUAGACGGCUUUCUGGACCGUAACUGACGCUGAGACACGAAAGCGUGGGUAGUAAACAGG